AGGAGCUUAAGUUAAAUAAACUAAUAGCCUUCAAAGCUUUAAUUGAUAUAUAAUCAGCCCCUAC
rnacentral:tRNA from 1 species